GUUCCGGUGGCCUGGUGGUUAGAGCGUCAGCCUUGGAUGCGUGAGAUCGUGGGAUCGAUCCCCGACUGAGUCA